rnacentral:ncRNA from 1 species
UAAGGUGCGCUCAGGGAAGACAGAAACCUUCUGUGGAGCAGAAGGGCAAACGCUCACUUGCUCUUGGUUUCCAGUUCGACUCCAGGCCGUGAAAGAGG